GUUUUGGUUGGCCCAAGUCGCAUGAGGAAUAGGGUGAGGACAGCCUCAAAAAAAAAAAAAAAAAAAAAAAAAAAAAAAAAAAAAAAAAAAAAAAAAAAAAAAAAGCAAGCCAGUUUUUCUCACUUCAGAACAACCCACCAGCCUUCUCCCUCUCUUUCCCCUAGUAGGCAGAAUCUAUUUGCAUGAAAAAACAACCAUUUAAUGUCAUUUAAUGUUGCAGAUAUUAGACAUAUCAAAAUAAAUGUUUUUGAGAAAUUUUCAGGUGUGUGGUUAAUGCAGCUUACACCUUAGAAUGUGUUUAACUCUUUUAUAGCAUAUAAGCCAAAUUCUGUCUGCUACAUUAGUGUGAACUGUAUGCAACUCCAAUUCCUCAAUAUAAAUGCGUAUGAGCAUACAAUAGAAAUAAGAGCACCCUGAAAUAAAAGCUGAAAUAAAUGCUCUUGUUCAUUAGCUUGUUACGAGAUUCACAGAUGUUAUCCCAUAGAAAAUGCAAUGUUGUGGAGUGUUGGGUAGGCAGGAAAAAUCCUUUGUUUUAGUCCUGAGCUCUAUAAACAUGUACAUCAUGCAAGUGUGUGUGUAUAUUAACACACACACUUGUCUUUUAUGUUCUUUGUUUUCUUUUGCCUGGUGUAUCAGGUUUAAAUGUUUUACUUGUGCUUUCAAGGCCCUAAAGUACUCUGACUCAGACUGCAUGUCUGUCAUUAAUGUCUUGUAAUUUCACCUUGUUUCUCAGUAGUGUUCCUAUUUUGCCCUCUCUCUUAUCCCUCUUCUGUUUUCUAGUAGUCUGCCUUUAUCUAUGGAAUUCCCUUCUUUUCUAUUACCUAGAAGAAAGAAUUUACAUCGCUUCUAGCACCCAGCAAACUGUUACAGAUCCAUUAAGAGAAGAUUCCUGUUCCUGUUCAGCCAACUGGGUCUUCUGCCUAGAACUCCAGCAUUUGGGAAUUGCAUGCUUCCAUGCCCUUAGACACAAAACCUACCAUCACUGAAGGAACAGCAGUACAGGCUGUCCACAGCAUUCCUCUGACCUUUAUUUCGGAAGAAGAAACAGAAAGAAGUCCUCUACUUCUGGAACACUGCUAAGUGGAACAGUUAAUCUGGAAGUUUUGCAACAUGAAUCCCAAGAAUCAGUGAUUGUGAAUGACCUAAGCCAAACUCUGACGUAGAGGAAGCAACAAUGCAAGGGAAAAAGAGGUCCUGAAAAACCUGACAGACAUCACUGAAAUCUGUCUGAGUUCAAGACAAUGUGAGUUCAAGACAAUGUCCUCAUCAGACUGAUUCAUCCUUUAAAUUUGUCCUCAAAACCCUUAUUGAACAUUUUUGGUUGUGUCUUGAGUAGUAUAUCCUUCUUCUUAAUCCUGAGGAUGGAACCAUUGGAAUGGCAUAAAUAGAUGUGUUCCUCGAAAUCUUUUAACAUAAUAGUUCUUCUUCUGACUUUGAUAAAAUCACAUAUACUACUGUACUCAUUGCAGCAUACAGUUGUCAGCUGUCAAGUAUAUUAAUGCACAACCCCUUAAAUGUGAAAAAGAAAAUAACAGCCACAAUUAUAAAAAUGUUUCAGAGAUACUAAAUAAACCAAAUUCACUUCUGAAUGGUGUAAUUAAAAGCAAAUCUUCAUGCUUACACUAUCCUUAUACAAAUCAUAUGAAUGAUAUGGUCUCAGGCGAUUAGUCUUGUGAAACAUUCUUUACAGAAUUUAGCUUUCUUUUAAUGCAAAUUUAGUCACUACUUUGACAGGAUAGCAUUAAUCUGUUGAGGAUUCAGAACUAACAUGCAAUGUAUUCAAAUUUAAAAGAAUAUAAAUACCUGAUGCUCUUAGAACAGGCUGAACUGACUUCAGCUAUAGAUCUCUAGCUAAAUCUACUUACUAAAGCAUAUUCUCUCAGUUAGAACAAAAGACAGAUAACCUUCAAGACCUUGCAGAACUUUACAGAAAAUAACAGGAACUAAAGUGUCUAAAAUUGAAAACAAAGGUCUUGAUGCUUGAGUAAAUGUUCAUUAAAAAUAUUUUAAAAAAGCACGUACUGACCCUCUUUGAGGAAGUUAGGAGUGUAUUUCUUUGGGGGAUGUCUGGAGCCAGAAGAUAUCUUUUGGCUUGAAGGCAUACCAGAACACAAGCAAAGAGACUGAAAGGUUGCAUUUUAAGGAAGUCAGAUGCGUUGAUGUGGCAGUUCUGAACAAAGUGGCCAUUUUGCACAAAAAUCCACACUGAAUACAGAAGGUGUGGUAUUGUAAAUGCAGAUUGUUUCUUUGGUGAUGUGAAGAAAAUGAAGCAAAGAUCUAGGAUGUGAUCUGUGAUACUAAAGUGUAAACUUCUAAUAUAAACUCUCAAAAGCAUUCAUCCUUAUGUGGGGUAUAUUUUGCCCUUAAAUUUGCUUGAAUGCACAAGCAAACACAGCCUUGUUUUGAAAUCGGUGUUGUUGCGCAAAUUCCAGCUGAUCGUCUGCAGUUUUAGAAAGAGCUGAAGUCAGUGCCUGAGGCACAGCUCCAUAAUAUGUAAUAGCAUAAUAACUAAAUUCCAUAAAGAAUCAGAUCAAACGGCCAAUAUGUUCCCCAGAGGCAGCAAUGAGCAUUUUGAUGUAAGAAACAAGGCAGGGAG